rnacentral:rRNA from 1 species
UAUUGCACAAUGGGGGGAACCCUGAUGCAGCAAUGCCGCGUGGGUGAAGAAGCACUCCGGUGNGUAAAGCCCUGUCAGCAGGGAANNCCNNNANAGUACCUGGACAAGAAGCCCCGGCUAACUACGUGCCNNNCNCCGCGGUAAUACGUAGGGGGCAAGCGUUAUCCGGAUUUACUGGGUGUAAAGGGAGCGCAGGCGGCGUGGCAAGUCAGAUGUGAAAACCCGGGGCCCAACCCCGGGAGUGCAUUUGAAACUGCCAUGCUGGAGUGCCGGAGAGGUAAGCGGAAUUCCUAGUGUAGCGGUGAAAUGCGUAGAUAUUAGGAGGAACACCAGUGGCGGAGGCGGCUUACUGGACGGUAACUGACGCUGAGGCUCGAAAGCGUGGGGAGCAAACAGG